ACAGGUCUCUUUCUCAGGAAGA
rnacentral:miRNA from 10 species